rnacentral:rRNA from 1 species
UACGAAGGGGGGCUAGCGUUGUUCGGAUUUACUGGGCGUAAAGCGCACGUAGGCGGACUAUUAAGUCAGGGGUGAAAUCCCGGGGCUCAACCCGGAACUGCCUUUGAUGCUGGUAGUCUUGAGUUCGAGAGAGGUGAGUGGAAUUCCGAGUGUAGAGGUGAAAUUCGUAGAUAUUCGGAGGAACACCAGUGGCGAAAGGCGGCUCACUGGCUCGAUACUGACGCUGAGGCACGAAAGCGUGGGGAGCAAACAGGAUUAGAAACCCUUG